GACGAACCGUGCGAAUGUUGUUCGGAAUCACUGGGCUUAAAGGGCGCGUAGGCGGGCUGCCGCGUCCGGGGUGAAAUCCCACGGCUCAACCGUGGAACGGCCUCGGAUACGGGCGGCCUCGAGGGGGGUAGGGGCAUCUGGAACUGUGAGUGGAGCGGUGAAAUGCGUUGAUAUUCACAGGAACUCCGGUGGCGAAGGCGAGGUGCUGGACCCCUUCUGACGCUGAGGCGCGAAAGCCAGGGGAGCGAACGGG
rnacentral:rRNA from 1 species